UUGAUAUUCAUUCUCUUAAAAUUUCGCAUCUAUACAAAAUCUUGGGCUAGAGUGUAGAGACUUCGAAAAAAGUUAUGGGGAAAAAUAUAAUGAAAAGUGCUAGAAUUGCAAUUUUGAUGAUAAUUAUGAUGUCUUUUGUACAAAUUCUAGAGGCAGACCAACUCUCAUGUAUUAAAUUAUGUGCUGUUGAUUGUUUACCAGAUCAAGUUCAUUAUUAUCAAUGUUUUAUAGCCUGUACUAAACGAUGUCCACCACACACCGGUGCCUCCAAUUGUAUUAAAAGCUGUGGUGUAAACAAGACCAUCACCGUUGAUAUGGAUGCUGGUGGUAAGAUCACUAAUGUGGUUGAUUCUUGUUUGGAAAAUUGUCUCAAGUGACAAUAACUUUGUAAGAACAUGAGAGCAAGAUUAGACAUGUUUCUCAUAUGAUGGUAAUAAAAAUAUGAAAAAAAUAAAAUUUUAGAUCUUGUUUU